AUUGAACGUUGGCGGCAGGCCUAAUACAUGCAAGUCGAACGGCAGCACAGAGAGCUUGCUCUUGGGUGGCGAGUGGCGGACGGGUGAGUAACGCGUAGGAAUCUACCCAGUAGCGGGGGAUAGCCCGGGGAAACCCGGAUUAAUACCGCAUACGCCCCACGGGGGAAAGGCCGGGAUCUUCGGACCGGUCACUAUUGGAGGAGCCUGCGUUGGAUUAGCUUGUUGGUGGGGUAAAGGCCUACCAAGGCUGCGAUCUAUAGCUGGUCUGAGAGGACGAUCAGCCACACUGGAACUGAGACACGGUCCAGACUCCUACGGGAGGCGGCAGUAGGGAAUAUUGUGCAAUGGGCGAAAGCCUGACACAGCCAUGCCGCGUGUGUGAAGAAGGCCUUAGGGUUGUAAAGCACUUUCAGGUGGAAAGAAAUCACUACCCCGAAUACGGGUGGUGGAUGACGGUACCAUCAGAAGAAGCACCGGCUAACUACGUGCCAGCAGCCGCGGUAAAGUA
rnacentral:rRNA from 1 species